rnacentral:rRNA from 1 species
CCUACGGGUGACAGCAGUGAGGAAUAUUGGGCAAUGGGCGGAAGCCUGAACCAGCCAAGUAGCGUGCAGGAUGACGGCCCUACGGGUUGUAAACUGCUAUUAUACGGGAAUAACGCGCCUUACGUGUAGGGCUUUGCAUGUACCGUCUGCAUAAAGACCGGCUAAUUCCGUUCCAGCAGCCGCGGUAAUACGGAAGGUCCGGGCUUUAUCCGGAUUUAUUGGGCUUAAAGGGCGCGUAGGCCGCAUGUCAAGCGUGCUGUGAAAGGUCCGGGCUCAACCCGUGCCUUGCAGCGCGAACUGGCGUGCUUGAGUCCGCGGAAAGCAGGCGGAAUUCGUCGUGUAGCGGUGAAAUGCUUAGAUAUGACGAAGAACCCCGAUUGCGAAGGCAGCUUGCUGCAGCGGAACUGACGCUGAUGCUCGAAAGCGCGGGUAUCGAACAGGAUUAGAUACCCUUGUAGUC